CAAGCAGAUGUCUGCGGGCCGGGCCCGCCACGUAAUGACAAAGGAUUAAAUCGCCUGAUUCCCACACGGACGGCCCAGUGUGUUUGUCUACCCUCUUUAGCCACAAUUUAUGGACUCUGCAGGGCUGAGAGAGAUCAACCAGAGGAGCAUAAGCCUCAGAGGAAUAAAGAUGUGUCCUAAUCGGGGGAUAAUGUAGCUGGCUGGAAAAAAAUAAGAGAGAGCGGAGCGGCAGGGCAACAAUUAGAGGAGCGCUCUCUCUCUCUCUCUCUCUCUCUCUCUCUCUCUCUCUCUCUCUCUCUCUCCGGCUGGUGAACAGGAGGCCCGCUCGCUGCUUUGGUUCGGUCGGGCUCGCUCGGCCCACAGUGUAAUAAUCAACUGGCACGCUGCCUCACUGUAAGACAGAGCUCAGAGUUGAGAGCGGGACACGUUCUCUCUCUCUCUCUCUCUCUCUCUCUCUCCCUCUCGCUCCACCCCCGAUGCCCACUGCUGGGAAAAAAGGUACUUUGAAAUCCACGAGAGAGCCACGUUUUCUCUCAGCCCGUUUACAGGGUCGUGACCUGGUCGGCCGGUUUCUAUUCAUAACCUGCCGAUGCAUAAAUCUUGUGCGCGCACCGCGGUGCGCCUUAUUUGUCCAAAACAAUCCCUUUCUGUGUUUGCAGUAAACGGCGGCACUCACCUGUGGCUGCAGUGGCGUUGGCAGCCGUCCAGAGGCGUGCCUGCGUGCGUGCAUGCGUGUGUGUUUGUGCGACUGAGUGUACAAAAGACAGAGACAGGGCCGGUCAGGCGCCUGUGCGCCGGUUUGCCUAUUUCCACACAGUCUGGGGCCCCCAGAGGAGGAUUUGCAGGCCAGAUAGGAUUAGGCUCCCUCUCUUUGCACAACAGCGACGGGGAUAAGGAGUCCGCGGAGCUCAGGCGCACUCCAAAGCCCCAUUAAUACACAGCAGCAGAUGAGUACCUCAAACAGCUGAGCCCACUCGGCCCAUGUUUGGUUAUCAAUGCUGCGCCCGCUGGUCAAUUACGCCGGCAAACCCGGCGAUUCCCCGUGGAAAAUUCACAGAAUGCCCCAAUUAUCGGGGACAUCUUCCCCGUCGGUGAGCCGCGGCUGCUUUUUCAUCAGUGGCAUUUCAGCAGGCUCGAGAAAUCCUUCCGUACCUGUAAUCCUGGUCGUGACGUCAUCACGGCGCUUGAUGCGUGUGGGGAGGAAACUGUCAUCUGACAGAAUUGGUUGAUUUAAUCACGAUAAAAUGCUUUACAGUACCACGUGUCGUUGUAUCUGACCAUUAGUCGCCCAUUCACGCGCGUCAAUCCCGCCGCAUUCCGAUCAUUCCUUUCACUUUUCACAGUUUAAUUACUUCCUAUAC
ensembl:lncRNA